rnacentral:rRNA from 1 species
GAUGAACGCUGGCGGCGUGCCUAAUACAUGCAAGUCGAGCGAAGAGACGAGGAGCUUGCUCCUCUGACGUUAGCGGCGGACGGGUGAGUAACACGUGGAUAACCUACCUAUAAGACUGGGAUAACUUCGGGAAACCGGAGCUAAUACCGGAUAAUAUAUUGAACCGCAUGGUUCAAUAGUGAAAGACGGUUUUGCUGUCACUUAUAGAUGGAUCCGCGCCGCAUUAGCUAGUUGGUAAGGUAACGGCUUACCAAGGCGACGAUGCGUAGCCGACCUGAGAGGGUGAUCGGCCACACUGGAACUGAGACACGGUCCAGACUCCUACGGGAGGCAGCAGUAGGGAAUCUUCCGCAAAGGGCGAAAGCCUGACGGAGCAACGCCGCGUGAGUGAUGAAGGUCUUCGGAUCGUAAAACUCUGUUAUUAGGGAAGAACAAAUGUGUAAGUAACUAUGCACGUCUUGACGGUACCUAAUCAGAAAGCCACGGCUAACUACGUG